rnacentral:rRNA from 1 species
AUCUUCAUUAGCUUGCUUUUGAAGAUCAGCGGCGGACGGGUGAGUAACACGUGGGCAACCUGCCUGUAAGACUGGGAUAACUUCGGGAAACCGGAGCUAAUACCGGAUAAUCCUUUCCCUCACAUGAGGGAAAGCUGAAAGACGGUUUCGGCUGUCACUUACAGAUGGGCCCGCGGCGCAUUAGCUAGUUGGUGAGGUAACGGCUCACCAAGGCAACGAUGCGUAGCCGACCUGAGAGGGUGAUCGGCCACACUGGGACUGAGACACGGCCCAGACUCCUACGGGAGGCAGCAGUAGGGAAUCUUCCGCAAUGGACGAAAGUCUGACGGAGCAACGCCGCGUGAACGAUGAAGGCUUUCGGGUCGUAAAGUUCUGUUGUUAGGGAAGAACAAGUACCGGAGUAACUGCCGGUACCUUGACGGUACCUAACCAGAAAGCCACGGCUAACUACGUGCCAGCAGCCGCGGUAAUACGUAGGUGGCAAGCGUUGUCCGGAAUUAUUGGGCGUAAAGCGCGCGCAGGCGGUUCCUUAAGUCUGAUGUGAAAGCCCCCGGCUCAACCGGGGAGGGUCAUUGGAAACUGGGGAACUUGAGUGCAGAAGAGGAGAGC